GUCCACGCCGUAAACGAUGGAUACUAGCUGUUGGGUGCAAACUCAGUGGCUAAGCGAAAGUGAUAAGUAUCCCACCUGGGGAGUACGUUCGCAAGAAUGAAACUCAAAGGAAUUGACGGGGCCCGCACAAGCGGUGGAGCAUGUGGUUUAAUUCGAUGAUACGCGAGGAACCUUACCAAGGCUUAAAUGUAGUUUGACAGAUUUGGAAACAGAUUUUUCUUCGGACAAAUUACAAGGUGCUGCAUGGUUGUCGU
rnacentral:rRNA from 1 species